GUUAUAUGGUCAAGUGAAGAAGCGCAUACGGUGGAUGCCUUGGCAGUCAGAGGCGAUGAAAGACGUGGUAGCCUGCGAAAAGCUUCGGGGAGUCGGCAAACAGACUUUGAUCCGGAGAUGUCUGAAUGGGGGAACCCAGCCAUCAUAAGAUGGUUAUCUUACGCUGAAUACAUAGGCGUAAGAGGCGAACCAGGGGAACUGAAACAUCUAAGUACCCUGAGGAAAAGAAAUCAACCGAGAUUCCCUUAGUAGUGGCGAGCGAACGGGGACUAGCCCUUAAGUGGCUUUGAGAUUAGCGGAACGCUCUGGAAAGUGCGGCCAUAGUGGGUGAUAGCCCUGUACGCGAAAAUCUCUUAGUCAUGAAAUCGAGUAGGACGGAGCACGAGAAACUUUGUCUGAAUAUGGGGGGACCAUCCUCCAAGGCUAAAUACUACUGACUGACCGAUAGUGAACUAGUACCGUGAGGGAAAGGCGAAAAGAACCCCGGAGAGGGGAGUGAAAUAGAUCCUGAAACCGUAUGCGUACAAGCAGUGGGAGCCCACUUUGUUGGGUGACUGCGUACCUUUUGUAUAAUGGGUCAGCGACUUAUUUUCAGUGGCGAGCUUAACCGAAUAGGGGAGGCGUAGCGAAAGCGAGUCUUAAUAGGGCGUCUAGUCGCUGGGAAUAGACCCGAAACCGGGCGAUCUAUCCAUGGGCAGGUUGAAGGUUGGGUAACACUAACUGGAGGACCGAACCGACUACCGUUGAAAAGUUAGCGGAUGACCUGUGGAUCGGAGUGAAAGGCUAAUCAAGCUCGGAGAUAGCUGGUUCUCCUCGAAAGCUAUUUAGGUAGCGCCUCAUGUAUCACUGUAGGGGGUAGAGCACUGUUUCGGCUAGGGGGUCAUCCCGACUUACCAAACCGAUGCAAACUCCGAAUACCUACAAGUGCCGAGCAUGGGAGACACACGGCGGGUGCUAACGUCCGUCGUGAAAAGGGAAACAACCCAGACCGUCAGCUAAGGUCCCAAAGUUAUGGUUAAGUGGGAAACGAUGUGGGAAGGCUUAGACAGCUAGGAGGUUGGCUUAGAAGCAGCCACCCUUUAAAGAAAGCGUAAUAGCUCACUAGUCGAGUCGGCCUGCGCGGAAGAUGUAACGGGGCUCAAACCAUACACCGAAGCUACGGGUAUCACGUAAGUGAUGCGGUAGAGGAGCGUUCUGUAAGCCUGUGAAGGUGAGUUGAGAAGCUUGCUGGAGGUAUCAGAAGUGCGAAUGCUGACAUGAGUAACGACAAUGGGUGUGAAAAACACCCACGCCGAAAGACCAAGGUUUCCUGCGCAACGUUAAUCGACGCAGGGUUAGUCGGUCCCUAAGGCGAGGCUGAAAAGCGUAGUCGAUGGAAAACAGGUUAAUAUUCCUGUACUUCUGGUUAUUGCGAUGGAGGGACGGAGAAGGCUAGGCCAGCUUGGCGUUGGUUGUCCAAGUUUAAGGUGGUAGGCUGGAAUCUUAGGUAAAUCCGGGAUUCUAAGGCCGAGAGCUGAUGACGAGUCAUCUUUUAGAUGACGAAGUGGUUGAUGCCAUGCUUCCAAGAAAAGCUUCUAAGCUUCAGGUAACCAGGAACCGUACCCCAAACCGACA
rnacentral:rRNA from 1 species